rnacentral:rRNA from 1 species
CAGCCGCCGCGGUAAUACGAAGGGGGCUAGCGUUGCUCGGAAUCACUGGGCGUAAAGCGCACGUAGGCGGCUUUCUAAGUCAGGGGUGAAAUCCUGGAGCUCAACUCCAGAACUGCCUUUGAUACUGGAGAGCUUGAGUUCGGGAGAGGUGAGUGGAACUGCGAGUGUAGAGGUGAAAUUCGUAGAUAUUCGCAAGAACACCAGUGGCGAAGGCGGCUCACUGGCCCGAUACUGACGCUGAGGUGCGAAAGCGUGGGGAGCAAACAGG